AGACUAAAUGAGCACGAGCAGGUGGCAGUUUUGUUCGACAACUCAUGCUAUGCUUCUGUGUCUACUGCUGCUGUGAGGUGGACAUGCAAGGGUGGCCGGCCAGGCACAGACCAAGGCGUGAGGGAAUAUGGAGCAAAAGGCUCCGUCUUUGAACUGGGGCAGUCCACAGAGAACACAGAAAUGCAGUUAUAUGUAGGGCUCAUGUAUGGCUCGCAGUGGAUCUUUGAUAGUAAAUUACCAGAAGACCUAAUAAGUCCAGGUCUUUUCUGUUUACAUCAACAAGGCUUCAGGAGAACUACGCACAGCUGCUUCCUUCAGCAAGUCAGGAGGAGACAUUGCGAUCCUUCCCUCAGUGGUGAGCGCAGACCCCUCGUAGAGGCGCUGAGGGACGAAGGCUUUCUGUGGCACCUCCAUGUCUUCAUCUGUGACACAUGGGGGGCAAAGUAUGGGGAUUCUCCACUUCUAAAUCAAAUAUUUUUCAUCAAAUCAGAGGCCAUGGCUGCAGUAUUGAUAUAUUCGCCAGGAGAAGCAGAAGCAGGAGAGAAGUGGAGACGGAACGCCAGAGAGCCCAGAGUGAAGACUUGCUGGGGGCUUGG